AGGCUCAAUCGACAUAUUCUGGAUCCUAACCUAGAAACGUUCUAUGGAUGAAGAUCGAGAUAGAAUAAUAAAGAGUCAGGCAUACGUGACAGUGAUGCGUGUCGAUGUAACAUAUGAUACGUACAAGUGAAACAGACUGUAGAUAUACGAAUGAGACUGGAGUGCGUGUAUAGGCAAUAGGAAAUAGGCAGUGGAUUAGACGUGUGUCAUGCGCAUGCGCGUGCACGAAUUUCUAGCAGUGAAGAUACAAUUAGUUUAUUAGUGUUACGAGUUUAGUCCGAUGCGCUGUAUAUAAUGACGAAUGCAUGAGAAGCGUGGAUUGUGGAAUGAUUAUUCACCAAGGGGUAAAUGAGUGCGAGCCAGGCCUUUCAGGGUGGAGUUCAGAAAUUCACAUAGAGGCCAUCGGUGCAUGGCUAUUGGCGUACAUUUUUCAAUGGGAAACAGGGAAAAUUCUGGGCGCAUGCGCAUUAAUAUUAAUUAGCGAAUGAGACAGUGCACGGAUAUUAAUGGUGGUACGGUAUGCGUAUACAUGCAUUGGCAUAUCCAUCUCCGUGUACGUAAUACAUACAUACAUACCAAAGAUACGUGGAAUACGCGAGGAGACAUGGCAGAAGGUCGAGAGGGCGGACGGAGUAGGGGGGCAUGGUGGAGGUCAAAGGUGGGCGGCAAAUGAAUGAGGAUGAAUUGAUUAAUCGGUUAAUCGCUACAUGUAUAUGCGCCACGACUGCUUAUGAUGCUUACGUGUAUCGCUAAUAGCGUUGAGAAGUCCCUGGACCGACGGUGGCGUCACGUGAAGCGGCGUGUAGACGUCCUCGGAUUCCUGGCGAACGUAGAGCAUCACGCGCUCCUCGGCGUCGGUGCCGCGCAAAUGCUGCUGCUGCAUGUGAAGCCUGUUACC